rnacentral:rRNA from 1 species
GAUGAACGCUGGCGGCGUGCCUAAUACAUGCAAGUCGAGCGAACGGACGAGAAGCUUGCUUCUCUGAUGUUAGCGGCGGACGGGUGAGUAACACGUGGAUAACCUACCUAUAAGACUGGGAUAACUUCGGGAAACCGGAGCUAAUACCGGAUGAUAUUUUGAACCGCAUGGUUCAAAAGUGAAAGACGGUCUUGCUGUCACUUAUAGAUGGAUCCGCGCUGCAUUAGCUAGUUGGUAAGGUAACGGCUUACCAAGGCAACGAUGCAUAGCCGACCUGAGAGGGUGAUCGGCCACACUGGAACUGAGACACGGUCCAGACUCCUACGGGAGGCAGCAGUAGGGAAUCUUCCGCAAUGGGCGAAAGCCUGACGGAGCAACGCCGCGUGAGUAAUGAAGGUCUUCGGAUCGUAAAACUCUGUUAUUAGGGAAGAACAUAUGUGUAAGUAACUGUGCACAUCUUGACGGUACCUAAUCAGAAAGCCACGGCUAACUACGU